rnacentral:ncRNA from 1 species
UCAAAAGCUAUGACCGGGAAGAGUAAGCAUGUCCCUUUUCAGUCCAGCGAGCCGGUGACCGGAAACCCCGGAGGUGUGAUGACCGGCCUGAAGAUCCUGCUGAAUGGUCCCGUGAGCUGUCUGCCGAACCAGUAAGUAGUAGGACAGACCGGAAGCCUCCGUUAAAAGGCUAGGGUAUCGGCGCUUUAACUCCCGUACCUGAAACCAGGGAAAACAGCUUGUUUUCCGAAUAAGGGUGGUACCGCGAACCAUUUCGCCCCUGAC